GGCUAUCUGAUUUGGGGAUCCUCCAAUUGGGCUUCACUCCUUGGGCCGUUCGAUUUGGGCUGAAUUUUUAUGUGUCAACAAUUAUCCCCCAAUAUGGCAGAAUUAAUAAUAAUUAUUAAAUUUUGUCAUAUUCACUUUGUGUUUCCAGCAACAUUCGAAAUUCCCAAAAAUUUCAAUCAUUGUUUUCUUCUAUAACUUGAAAA
rnacentral:lncRNA from 1 species